rnacentral:lncRNA from 1 species
UAAACGCCCCAUAUCGUUUAGAAGAGCCUUCAUCCUUAGUCAAACGUCCUUCCCGGACUCCUUCCUCCAAUCGCAUCCCCAUAUUCACCAUCUCGGUGAAAUCAGAGGGAGCACUAGCGACCAUCCGCUCAUAAUAAAAUGAACUAAUAGUCUUCAGAAAGAUCUUAGUCAUCUCCUUCUCUUCCAGCGGAGGAGUAAUCUGAGCUGCUAACUCUCGC